rnacentral:rRNA from 1 species
AAUCAACGCUGGCGGCGUGCCUCAGACAUGCAAGUCGAACGAUUAAAGCUCUCUUCGGAGAGUGUAUAGAGUGGCGCACGGGUGAGUAACACGUAAGUAAUCUACCUUCGAGUGGGGAAUAACGUCCGGAAACGGACGCUAAUACCGGCAUAAUGCAGCGGCAUCGCAAGAUGACAGUUGUUAAAGAUUUAUCGCUUGAAGAGGAGCUUGCGGCAGAUAGCUAGUUGGUAAGGUAAUGGCUUACCAAGGCUACGAUCUGUAACCGGUCUAAGAGGACGGUCGGUCACACUGACACUGAAUAACGGGUCAGACUCCUACGGAGGCAGCAGUCGGGAAUUUU